GACAACCCGAGAGAUCGGGCGUUCCCCUUCGGGGGACAGGGUGACAGGUGGUGCAUGGUUGUCGUCAGCUCGUGUCGUGAGAUGUUGGGUUAAGUCCCGCAACGAGCGCAACCCUCGACCUUAGUUGCCAGCAUUCAGUUGGGCACUCUAAGGUGACUGCCGGCUAAAAGUCGGAGGAAGUGGGGAUGACGUCAAAUCAUCAUGCCCCUUAUGACCUGGGCUACACACGUGCUACAAUGGGCGGUACAAAGGGUCGCGAACCCGCGAGGGGGAGCCAAUCCCAAAAAGCCGCUCUCAGUUCGGAUUGCAGGCUGCAACUCGCCUGCAUCGAAGCCGGAAUCGCUAGUAAUCGCGGAUCAGCAUCGCCGCGUGAAUACGUCCGGCU
rnacentral:rRNA from 1 species